rnacentral:rRNA from 1 species
GACGAACGCUGGCGGCGUGCUUAACACAUGCAAGUCGAACGGAAAGGCCCCGUUGUUGGGUAGUUGACUGGCGCAGGGGAGAGGAACAAGACAUUAGUAUACCCUUGCUGUUGGGCUGAUAUCAGGAAGCUAGGGCGGAUAUUACAGAGGAGCAGCUGCUGCAUGGUGGUGGUGGGUAGGUAGCUUCGGUUGUGGGGGAUGUACUCGCUGGUUAGCAGCUUGGUGGUGGGGUAGUGGCUCACCAAGGUUUUGACGGGUAGGCGGCCUGAGAGGGUGACCGGCCACAUUGGGACUGAGAUACGGCCCAGACUCCUACGGGAGGCAGCAGUGGGGAAUAUUGCACAAUGGGCGGAAGCCUGAUGCAGCAACGCCGCGUGCGGGAUGACGGCCUUCGGGUUGUAAACCGCUUUCGCCUGUGACGAAGCGUGAGUGACGGUAAUGGGUAAAGAAGCACCGGCUAACUACGUG